GGAACUGUGCCCGAGAGACCCAGGGAGUACUUUGAUAGGGUAUUUAACGGGGGUUAAAAUCCCCCCAGUUCUU
rnacentral:tRNA from 1 species